UGCGUAGGCGGCCUGACAAGUUGGGUGUGAAAUCCCUCGGCUUAACCGAGGAAUUGCGCUCAAAACUGUUGGGCUUGAGGGAGUUAGAGGUGAGCGGAACUUAGGGUGGAGCGGUGAAAUGCGUUGAUAUCCUAAGGAACACCAGUGGCGAAAGCGGCUCACUGGAGCUUUUCUGACGCUGAGGCACGAAAGCUAGGGGAGCGAACG
rnacentral:rRNA from 1 species